AAACGAAUCACUAGGGGAUCUUAUUAAAAUACAGAUUCUGAUUCAUAAGUCUAGGAUGAGCAGCUCUUGAUAUUCUGCAUUUCUAACAAGCUCCCACGUGAUCACAUU
rnacentral:pre_miRNA from 1 species